UGGCCAGACUCCUACGGGAGGCAGCAGUGAGGAAUAUUGGUCAAUGGGCGGGAGCCUGAACCAGCCAUGCCGCGUGAAGGCGAGUGCCCUACGGGCGUUAAACUUCUUUUGUGCGGGAGCAAUAAGGGCCACGCGUGGCCCGAUGAGAGUACCGCACGAAUAAGCAUCGGCUAACUCCGUGCCAGCAGCCGCGGUAAUACGGAGGAUGCGAGCGUUAUCCGGAUUUAUUGGGUUUAAAGGGUGCGUAGGCGGAUUUUUAAGUCAGCGGUAAAAUGUCCGGGCUCAACCCGGGCCGGCCGUUGAAACUGGGGAUCUUGAGUGGGCGAGAAGUAUGCGGAAUGCGUGGUGUAGCGGUGAAAUGCAUAGAUAUCACGCAGAACUCCGAUUGCGAAGGCAGCAUACCGGCGCCCGACUGACGCUGAGGCACGAAAGCGUGGGGAUCGAACAGGAUUAGAUACCCUCGUAGG
rnacentral:rRNA from 1 species